CACGUAGAUGGGCUGUGCUCUGGAAGUUUGCUUUUCUCAGUUGCACAAAUGGAUUUAUGCUCACCUAAACUCACCCUGCCUCCCAGCCCACUGUCCUGAUCAGGGGUGAAGACAGCAGGAAGGGACUGUGUUUACAGUCUGUGCAGGUCAAGGUUAAGUGUGUUUUGGAGAUGGAGAGGAAUGCGUGCAUGUGGUAUCUCCCCAACUGAGCAGAGCAGUUGACAUUUAUGGUGACCACGAAGUGACCCAGAGUGGACUUCCUUCUUUCUACUGGACUCCAAGAGGAACCAGAGCUUUGGUACCAGCAGCGGCCCUGUGCGUCCAUCAGUCUCCUCGGGGAGUGCAGAAAAAUUUGGACUCCAGAGGAAGCUUGAAGAAAAAAAUUACCUCUUUGAGGAUUCUUGCCCUGAGGAAACAACUCUUCUAUACCUUUGGACCAGAGCUCUCUGGAUCACUUAUCUGCUGCUGCUACUGCUAAGUUGCUUCAGUCGUGUCUGACUCUGUGCAACCCCAGAGACGGCAGCGCACCAGGCUCCCCCAUCCCUGGGAUUCUCCAGGCAAGAACACUGGAGUGGGUUGCCAUUUUCUUCUCCAAUGCAUGAAAGUGAAAAGUGAAAGUGAAGUCAUUCAGUCGUGUCAGACUCUUUGUGACCCAUGGACUGCAGCC
rnacentral:lncRNA from 1 species